rnacentral:rRNA from 1 species
UUGAGAGUUUGAUCCUGGCUCAGGAUGAACGCUGGCGGCGUGGAUAAGGCAUGCAAGUCGAGAGGGUUUAGACCCUCGGCAAACGGGUUCGGAUAACAUAGGAAUUUUCCCUAAAGUCAUGGAUAAUCCAGAGAAAUUUGGAACAAUACAUGAUAUGCUCUACGGAGUAAAGAUUUAUCGCUUUAGGAGAAGCCUAUGUCCUAUCAGCUUGUUGGUGAGGUAAUAGCUCACCAAGGCUAUGACGGGUAGGGGGUGUGAGAGCACGGCCCCCAACAUUGGAACUGAGACACUGUCCAAACACCUACGGGUGGCUGCAGUCGAGAAUAUUCCACAAUGGACGAAAGUCUGAUGGAGCGACGCCGCGUGCGGGAUGAAGGCCUUCGGGUUGUAAACCGCUUUUUUCAGGGAGCAAUUUCGAUGAGAGUACCUGAAGAAUAAGAGGUUACUAACUCUGUGCCAGCAGUAGCGGUAAUACAGAGACCUCAAGCGUUAUCCGGAUUUAUUGGGCGUAAAGGGCAGGUAGGUGGAUAUGUUAGUCGGAUGUUAAAUCUCGGGGCUCAACCCCGAACGAGCAUUCGAAACGGCAUGUCUAGAGGAUGUGAGAGAUCAGUGGAAUUUAUGGUGUAGUAGUGAAAUGCGUUGAUAUCAUAAAGAACACCCAAGGCGAAGGCAACUGAUUGGCACAUAUCUGACACUGAGCUGCGAAAGCGUGGGGAGCGAAUAGGAUUAGAUACCCUAGUAGUCCACGCCCUAAACGAUGCAUACUAGGUGCAGGGAGAAUCGACCCUUUCUGUGCCGGAGCUAACGCGUUAAGUAUGCCGCCUGGGAAGUACGAUCGCAAGAUUAAAACUCAAAGGAAUAGACGGGGAUCCGCACAAGUGGUGGAGCAUGUGGUUUAAUUCGACAGUAAGCGAGGCACCUCACCAAGGUUUGAAAUCUAGCUGCAGAGCCCAGAAAUGGGAUGUCCUUCGAGGGUGCUAGACCAGGUGCUGCAUGGUUGUCGUCAGCUCGUGUCGUAAGAUGUUCCGUUCAGUCGGGAAACGAGCGCAACCCCUGUGAAGUGUUAUAUAUGUCACUUCAGACUGCCCUCUCAUCUGCGUGUGAACGCAGAUGAGUAUCGAAUUAUUAAUUUCGAAUUUCGAAUGAAUUCCUAUUGAUUGAAUUUCGAAUGUUUCAAAAUUAAGAUUCCGUAUUUGAUUCAAAAUUUUAAAUUCUGAAUUAAAAAUUCAUCUGUUCGUUCGCGAAUAGAUGAGAGGGAGGAAGGCGGGGAUGACGUCAAAUCAGCAUGGCCCUUUGACACCUUGGGCGACACACGUGCUACAAUGGCCGGAAUAAAGGGUUGCCAAAUCGCGAGAUGGAGCUAAUCCCAAAAAUUCGGUCUCAGUUCGGAUUGCAGGCUGCAACUCGCCUGCAUGAAGCUGGAAUCACUAGUAAUCGUUGAUCAGCCACGCAACGGUGAAUGCGUUCUCGGAUCUUGUACUCACCGCCCGUCACACCAAGAGAGCCGGCAAUACCAGAAGGUCCUGUGUCAAAUCGGGAACUACGGUAGGGUUGGUAAUAAGGGUGAAGUCGUAACAA